UCGAGAAUCUUUGUCAAUGGACGAAAGUCUGAACAAGCGACGCCGCGUGCGGGAUGAAGGCCUUCGGGUUGUAAACCGCUGUCAGUUGGGAGGAAAGGCCUGUGAAGAGCAGGUCUUGACCGAUCUUCAGAGGAAGGACGGGCUAAGUUCGUGCCAGCAGCCGCGGUAAGACGAACCGUCCGAACGUUAUUCGGUAUCACUGGGCUUAAAGAGUUCGUAGGCCGGCUAGCAGGUCAGGUGUGAAAUCCCACAGCUCAACUGUGGAACUGCGCUUGAAACCGUUAGUCUUGAGGGAGAUAGAGGUGAGCGGAACAGAUGGUGGAGCGGUGAAAUGCGUUGAUAUCAUCUGGAACACCGGUGGCGAAAGCGGCUCACUGGAUCUCUUCUGACGCUGAGGAACGAAAGCUAGGGUAGCGAACGGGAUUAGAUACCCCCGUAGUCC
rnacentral:rRNA from 1 species